rnacentral:rRNA from 1 species
UACAGAGGUCUCAAGCGUUGUUCGGAUUCAUUGGGCGUAAAGGGUGCGUAGGUGGCGGGGUAAGUCAGGUGUGAAAUCUCGGAGCUCAACUCCGAAACUGCACUUGAUACUGCCUUGCUCGAGUACUGGAGAGGAGAUUGGAAUUUACGGUGUAGCAGUGAAAUGCGUAGAUAUCGUAAGGAAGACCAGUGGCGAAGGCGAAUCCCUGGACAGUUACUGACACUGAGGCACGAAGGCCAGGGGAGCAAACGGG